rnacentral:rRNA from 1 species
GGUUUUGGAUGGACUCGCGGCCUAUCAGCUUGUUGGUGGGGUAAUGGCCUACCAAGGCGACGACGGGUAGCCGGCCUGAGAGGGUGGACGGCCACACUGGGACUGAGACACGGCCCAGACUCCUACGGGAGGCAGCAGUGGGGAAUAUUGCACAAUGGGCGCAAGCCUGAUGCACCGACGCCGCGUGGGGGAUGAAGGCCUUCGGGUUGUAAACCUCUUUCAGUAGGGAAGAAGCGAAAGUGACGGUACCUGCAGAAGAAGCGCCGGCUAACUACGUGCCAGCAGCCGCGGUAAUACGUAGGGCGCAAGCGUUAUCCGGAAUUAUUGGGCGUAAAGAGCUCGUAGGCGGUUUGUCGCGUCUGCCGUGAAAGUCCGGGGCUUAACUCCGGAUCUGCGGUGGGUACGGGCAGACUAGAGUGAUGUAGGGGAGACUGGAAUUCCUGGUGUAGCGGUGAAAUGCGCAGAUAUCAGGAGGAACACCGAUGGUGAAGGCAGGUCUCUGGGCAUUAACUGACGCUGAGGAGCGAAAGCAUGGGGAGCGAACAGGAUUAGAUACCCUGGUAGUCCAUGCCGUAAACGUUGGGCACUAGGUGUGGGGGACAUUCCACGUUUUCCGCGCC